AUUGAACGCUGGCGGCAGGCCUAACACAUGCAAGUCGAACGAGUGGCGGACGGGUGAGUAAUGUCUGGGAAACUGCCCGAUGGAGGGGGAUAACUACUGGAAACGGUAGCUAAUACCGCAUACCAUCGGAUGUGCCCAGCUGGGAUUAGCUAGUAGGUUGGGUAACGGCUCACCUAGGCGACGAUCCCUAGCUGGUCUGCAAGGCUGACCAUCCACACUGGAACUGAGACACGGUCCAGACUCCUACGGGAGGCAGCAGUGGUGAAUAGUGCAAAAUGGGCGCAAGCCUGAUGCAGCCAUGCCGCGUGUAUGAAGAAGGCCUUCGGGUUGUAAAGUACUUUCAGCGAGGAGGCGUUACUCGCAGAAGAAGCACCGGCUAACUCCGUGCCAGCAGCCGCGGUAAUAC
rnacentral:rRNA from 1 species